GCUGACACGCUGUCCUCUGGCGACCUGUCGCUGGAGAGGUUGGGCCUCUGGAUGCGUGCGGGGCUCUGGCCUACCGGUGACCCGGCUAGCCGGCCGUGCUCCUGCUUGAGCCGCCUGCUGGGGCCCGCGGGCCUGUGGUUCUCUCGCGCGUCCGAGCGUCCCGACUCCCGGUGCCGGCCCGGGUCCGGGUCUCUGACCCACCCGGGGGGCGGCGGGGAAGGCGGCGGGGGCCACCCUGCCCCCGUGCGCUCUCCGCUGCGGGCGCCCGGGGCGGCUGCGACAACCCCACCCCGCUGGCUCCGUGCCGUGCGUGUCAGGCGUUCUCGUCUCCGCUGGGUUGUCCGCCGCCCCUUCCCCGGGGUGGGGAGCUGGCCGGGGCCGAUCGGCUGGUCUGGCUGGCCGGCCGGCCGGGUGGCCGACCUCCGCUCCCGGGGGGCUCUUCGCGAUCGAUGUGGUGACGUCAUGCUCUCCCGGGCCGGGUCCGAGCCGCGCCGGGCGAGGGGCGGACGUUCGUGGCGAACGGGUCCGUUCUUCUCGCUCCGCCCCGCGGGGGCCCCUCGUCUCUCCUCUCCCCGCCUGCGGGUGGUGCGUGUGGGAAGGCGUGGGGUGCGGAACCCGGCCUGACCUCGGCGUCCCGCCCGCCGCCUUCUGCGUCGCGGGACGGGUCGGCGGGGUCCUCUGACGCGGCAGACACCCCUCGCUGUCGCCUCCCGUGGUUGUCGACUUGCGGGCGGGCCCCCUCCGCGGCGGUGGGGGUGCCGUCCCGCCGGCCCGUCGUGCUGCCCUCUCUGGGGGUUUGCUCGAGCGUCGGCUCCGCCUGGGCCCUUGCGGUGCUCCUGGAGCGCUCCGGGUUGUCCCUCAGGUGCCCGAGGCCGAGCGGUGGUGUGUCGUUCCCGCCCCCAGUGCCCCCCUCCUCCGGUCGCCACCGCGGUGUCCGCGUGUGGGUCCUGAGGGAGCUCGUAGGUGUGGGGUUCGAGGCGGUUGAGUGAGACGAGACGCGCCCCUCCCACGCGGGGAAGGGCGCCCGCCUGGUCCGGCGAGUGCACGUCCCGUGCUCCCCUUUGGCGGGUGCGCGCGGGCCGUGUGAGCGAUCGCGGUGGGUUCGGGCCGGUGACGCGUGCGCCGGCUGGCCGCCGAGGGGCUGCCGUUCCGCCUCCGACCGGUCGUGUGUGGGUUGACUUCGGAGGUGCUUUGCCUCGGAAGGAAGGAGGUGGGGGGACGGGGGGGGCCUCGUGGGGUUGCGCGCACGCGCGCACCGGCCGAGCCCCCGCCCUGACCGCGAACGCUCAAGGUGGCCGCACGCAGGUGUUUCCUCGUACCGCAGGCCCUCUCCCUUCCCCAGGCGUCCCUCGGCGCCUCUGCGGGCCCGAGGAGGGGUGGCUGGCGGUUGGGGAGUGUGACCCACCCUCGGUGAGAAAGCCUUCUCUAGCGAUCCGAGAGGUGUGCCUUGGGGUACCGGAUCCCCCGGACUGCCGCCUCUGUCUCUGCCUCUGUUACGGUAGCGCUGCCGUAGCGACUCGCUCGCAGAGGACCCUCCUCCGCUUCCCCCUCGACGGGGUUGAGGGGGGAGAGCGAGGGUUCCGCCGGCCACCGCGGUGGUGGCCGAGCGCGGCUCGUCGCCUACUGUGGCCCGCGCCUCCCCCUUCCGAGUCGGGGGAGGAUCCCGCCGGGCCGGGCCCGGCGUCCUGGCGGGUUGGGACGUGGCGGCCGGCGAGCGGUGGUGGGUGUGUGCUGCGCGGUGUACCGCCCGGCGCGUGAGUCCCUCCGCCGUGAGUCGGCUCUCCGCCCGCUCCCCUGCCGAGUCGUGACCGGUGUCGGCGACCGCGUUUUGCGUGGCGUGGGGUCGGGCCGCCUGGGCCCUGGGAAAGCGUCCCGCGGUGGGGGCGCGCCGGUCUCCCGGAGCGGGGCCGGGCCGGAGGAUGGACGAGAAUCACGAGCGAUGGUGGUGCUGGCGUUGGGUUCGUGGCUGCGGUCGCUUCGGGGUCCCCGGUGGCGGGACCCCGGGGCUCGCGAGGCGGAUCUCGGUGGGGGGGCCGAGGGCCGUCCGGCGUCCCAGGCGGGGCGCCGCGGGACCGCCCUCGUGUCUGUGGCGGUGGGAUCCCGCGGCCGUGUUUUCCUGGUGGCCCGGCCGUACCCGAGGUUUCUCCCCCGAGCUGCCGCCUCUGUGGGCUCCUGGGUGCCCUUGCCCGUCUGUGCCCUCUUCCCUGCCCGCCGCCUGCCGAUUCCCCUCUUCUCCCCGAGCGGCUCACCGGCUUCCCGUCGGUUGGCGGCCCCGCCUGGGACCGAACCAGGCACCGCCUCGUGGGGCGCCGCCACCGGCCACUGGUUGGCCCGGUGUCCGCGUCCCCCGGCGCGCGCCUUCGGGACCGGGUCGGUGGCGCCCCGCGUUGGGGCCCGGUGGGCUUCCCGGAGGGUUUCGGGGGUCGGCCUGCAGCGCGUGCGGGGCGAGAGAGGGUUCCGGGGAACCGGCCGCGACUGCGGCGGCGGUGGGGGGGAGCCGCGGGGGUCGCCGAGGGCCGGUUGGCCGCUGCUCCGGGUGCCGCGCGGGGCCGCCUUCGCGCUCGGAGGGUGCCGGCGGUGAGACCCCCGCGUGUGUCCCGGCCGCGGUCGGCUGCGCUCGAGGGGUCACGUGGCGUCCCCCUUCCCCGCCGGCCGCCUUUCUCGCGCCUUCCCCGUCGCCUCGGCCUCCUCGCCCGUGGUCUCUCGUCUUCUCCCGGCCCGCUCUUCCGAACCGGGUCGGCGCGUCCCCCGGGUGCGCCUCGCUUCCCGGGCCUGCCGCGGCCCUUCCCUGAGGCGUCCGUCCCGGGCGUCGGCGUCGGGGAGAGCCCGUCCUCCCCGCGUGGCGUUGCCCCGUUCGGCGCGCGCGUGCGCCCGAGCGCGGCCCGGUGGUCCCUCCCGGACAGGCGUUCGUGCGAUGUGUGGCGCAGGUCGACCCUCCGCCUUGCCGGUCGCUCGCCCUCUCCCCGGGUCGGGGGGUGGGGCCCGGGCCGGGGCCUCGGCCCCGGUCGCGGUCCCUCGUCCCGGGCGGGGGCGGGCGCGCCGGCCGGCUUCGGUCGCCCUCCCUCGGCCGUCGUGUGGCGUGUGCCACCNNNNNNNNNNNNNNNNNNNNNNNNNNNNNNNNNNNNNNNNNNNNNNNNNNNNNNNNCCUCGANNNNNNNNNNNNNNNNNNNNNNNNNNNNNACGGCGCGACUGUCCCCGGGCCGGGCACCGCGGUCCGCCUCUCGCUCGCCGCCCGAACGUCGGGGNNNNNNNNNNNNNNNNNNNNNNNNNNNNNNNNNNNNNNNNNNNNNNNNNNNNNNNNNNNNNNNNNNNNNNNNNNNNNNNNNCGGUCCCUCCCGGCCGCCUCCUCGCGGGCGGGCGCGAUGAAGGGUCGCGGGUCCGUGGCGUGAGCCCGGCGUGGGGCGCUGGCUGUGCCGUGCGGGGCGGGUGGUUGGGGUGUCCGGUUCGCCGCGCCCCGCCCCCGCCRCCACCGUCCCGGCCGCCGCCCCGCGCCCGCCCGCCGGCUGGCUCGCUCCCUCCCGUCCGUCCGUCUGUCGUCCUCCUCGCUUCCGGGGCGCCGGGCCCGUCCUCGCGAGGCCCCCGGCCGGCCGCGUCGGGGCCUCGCCGCGCUCUACC
rnacentral:misc_RNA from 1 species